rnacentral:rRNA from 1 species
UACGUAGGGUGCAAGCGUUGUCCGGAAUUAUUGGGCGUAAAGAGCUCGUAGGCGGUCUGUCGCGUCGGAUGUGAAAACCCAGGGCUCAACCCUGGGCCUGCAUUCGAUACGGGCAGACUAGAGUUCGGUAGGGGAGACUGGAAUUCCUGGUGUAGCGGUGAAAUGCGCAGAUAUCAGGAGGAACACCAGUGGCGAAGGCGCCGCUCUGGGCCGAGACUGACGCUGAGGAGCGAAAGCGUGGGUAGCAAACAGG